AAUUAUACCGCGAAACUGCGAAUGGCUCAUUAAAUCAGUUAUCGUUUAUUUGAUAGUACCUUACUACAUGGAUAACCGUGGUAAUUCUAGAGCUAAUACAUGCUAAAAAUCCCGACUUCGGAAGGGAUGUAUUUAUUAGAUUAAAAACCAAUGCCCUUCGGGGCUCUCUGGUGAUUCAUAAUAACUUCUCGAAUCGCACGGCCUUGCGCCGGCGAUGGUUCAUUCAAAUUUCUGCCCUAUCAACUUUCGACGGCUGGGUCUUGGCCAGCCGUGGUGACAACGGGUAACGGAGGGUUAGGGCUCGACCCCGGAGAAGGAGCCUGAGAAACGGCUACUACAUCCAAGGAAGGCAGCAGGCGCGCAAAUUACCCAAUCCCGACACGGGGAGGUAGUGACAAUAAAUACUGAUACAGGGCUCUUUCGGGUCUUGUAAUUGGAAUGAGUACAAUUUAAAUCCCUUAACGAGGAACAAUUGGAGGGCAAGUCUGGUGCCAGCAGCCGCGGUAAUUCCAGCUCCAAUAGCGUAUAUUAAAGUUGUUGAGGUUAAAAAGCUCGUAGUUGAACCUUGGGCCUAGCCGGCCGGUCCGCCUCACCGCGUGCACUGGCUCGGCUGGGUCUUUCCUUCUGGAGAACCGCAUGCCCUUCACUGGGUGUGCCGGGGAACCAGGACUUUUACUCUGAAUAAAUUAGAUCGCUUAAAGAAGGCCUAUGCUCGAAUACAUUAGCAUGGAAUAAUAGAAUAGGACGUGUGGUUCUAUUUUGUUGGUUUCUAGGACCGCCGUAAUGAUUAAUAGGGACAGUCGGGGGCAUCAGUAUUCAAUUGUCAGAGGUGAAAUUCUUGGAUUUAUUGAAGACUAACUACUGCGAAAGCAUUUGCCAAGGAUGUUUUCAUUAAUCAGGAACGAAAGUUAGGGGAUCGAAGACGAUCAGAUACCGUCGUAGUCUUAACCAUAAACUAUGCCGAUUAGGGAUCGGACGGCGUUAUUUUUUGACCCGUUCGGCACCUUACGAUAAAUCAAAAUGU
rnacentral:rRNA from 1 species